UGAAGACAUUUAUUUUCUUUGUUAGACCUGCCACUUGAGUAUCUGGUCAAAUAAUGGAUAAUGUGUUCGAAAUCAGUGAAGGAAUGUGAACACUUUGGGAGAAAGACUACAGGUUUGGAGGCCACUCUAAAGAUGAACCCUCUAUCCUGACACCUCUGGAGCAGUGCUGCAGGAUUUGUCGCUCCACCCUCCUGCGUGUCUACGUCUCCUUCUCCCUGCUACAGUCUCUGUGACGUCAUGAGGGACUCUCUUUUCCACGAUCCUCUAUUCUUCGUGGCCCCUCUCUGAGCUGCACCUCUCUGCCCUGGACCGUUCCCUAGCGACCGUGCUCAGAACUGUGAGCCGUUGCCAGGAGCGACAGUGUAGCCGCCAUGGAGGCGAGGAUGAUGUCACUCAUUAUACGACCUUCGUUACACCUGUGACACAUGCAGGGUACACUCUUAGAAAAAAGGGUUCUUUGGCUGUCCCCAUAGGAGAACCCUUUUGGUUUCUACAUGGAACC